GGGAAUUUAUUAGGUAGCCUACAGAUGUACUACAAAAACCCAUGGUUAAACUAUGAUUUUUUGAAGCAAAAACCACCCAUGCUUUGAGUUUUCACAAUUCCUCAAUAAAAAAAUUAUAUAAUCUCCAUAAAAUAGCCUAUACAUAGCCUAUUGUAAGUAUUUGGAGAAGAAACAUUUAUGUUCUCCACGUAAACCAUUGAAAUCGGUUAAAUAAAACGUGGUUCUGUUUUUAAAAAUCUCCGGGAAACUUGCGUGUUUUUAGAGCAGUGUGAGCAAACCACGCGGCAGUCGAUGCGACGUCUGUGGCUGCUGAUACAAUCUGGUUUGCAAUGCAUCAUGGAAAUUGUAGUUGAUUUACAUGUACAGUGUUAAAUCCGCUUUGCAAAAAGACUACUUUUCCCAGAAUGCACCCAGUGACACCAUCCCGCCUACCAGAGGAUCCGGAAGUUGCGUAGCAGCUAUUCAGCAACUCAACGCAGUCGCGGUGAAAUUCAAAUAACUAAGUUAGUUGUUCUAACUUCGACAAUCACGCUGUGUUGGUUUUAUCUUUUGAAGUUUUAAUACAUGAUCAAGUGAAGAACAUCGGAAGCUGCUUCUUGCUGAACAACAGCUGAUCUUUCUGAGGCCACCAAAACGGAAAAUAAAAUGAAACAGGCGACUAAUGGAUGAAAAUGACCCCGAUGAGGAGGCUACUGCAGCCAUGGCAAGUAGAGAAGUUCACAAGACCUCACAGAACAUCGCAGGCAACAGGAUUUAACUUUACAGUCUCACAGACAGGCAAUACAGUCACCAUGGCAUCAUGAAACACCCAGA